AUGGCCACGGCCGCCUCCGCCUCCCUCUCCGCCGCGUCCUUCCUCUCCCCAGCCCCAUCUCGCCCCCGCACCCUCUUCCGCGCCCUCGCGGCCUCAGGCUCCGGCGGCGGCAAGAAGAAGCCCGGCAAGUCCAAGAGCAGCAGCAGCAAGGGCAAGGGCAAGGACAAGGCGCUGGAGCCGCCGCCCGACGUGGCGGUCCGCCGCGCGCCUGCGGGGAGCGCGUCGGUGUUCGAGCAGCAGCGGACGAAGGCCGGGUUCAACCCCGGCGGCCGCGGGAACCGGUUCACGGAGGACGAGGUCCGGCAGCGACAGGCCACCGAGAGCGCCUUCCUCUUCGCCUGGCUGGGCCUCGGCGGGAUCAUCCUCUUCCAGGGCCUCGCCCUCGCCGCCUCCGGUUUUCUGCCCACAGAAUGGGACAGUUUUUUAGUUAAGUACCUGUAUCCGUCGUUCACUCCGACAGUACUCUUGUUCCUCGGGGGUACGACUGGAUAUGGCGUCUUCAAGUACUUUGAAGGCGAGAAAAGCAAAGGCUAG
rnacentral:rRNA from 1 species